rnacentral:rRNA from 1 species
GACGAACGCUGGCGGCGUGCUUAACACAUGCAAGUCGAACGAUGAAAGUGGAGCUUGCUCCGCUGGAUUAGUGGCGAACGGGUGAGUAACACGUGGGCAACCUGCCCCAGACUCUGGGAUAACUCCUCGAAAGAGGUGCUAAUACCGGAUACGAACUCCUUGGGCAUCCUUGGAGUUGGAAAGCUUUUCGGUCUGGGAUGGGCCCGCGGCCUAUCAGCUUGUUGGUGGGGUAAAGGCCCACCAAGCCAACGAUCUGUAGCUGGUCUGAGAGGACGACCAGCCACACUGGGACUGAGACACGGCCCAGACUCCUACGGGAGGCAGCAGUGGGGAAUUUUGGACAAUGGGCGCAAGCCUGAUCCAGCAAUGCCGCGUGCAGGAAGAAGGCCUUCGGGUUGUAAACUGCUUUUGUACGGAACGAAACGGUCCGGGUUAAUACCCUGGGCUAAUGACGGUACCGUAAGAAUAAGCACCGGCUAACUACGUGCCAGCCGCCGCCGUAA